CAGAUCUUCUACAAAGCUAAAGGAGAAGAUGUGAAACAUAAAUACACUAUGAGUCCUGAUCUUCCUCUGUUUCUCUAGGCCAAGUGCAAUGCUUACAAUAUGAGUGACGUCUGCUACAAACGGGACUGGCAUGAUUUAAUAGCCAAGGGCAACAAUGCGCUAGGUGAGGCUGCACAUCACUGCAGCCAAAGCAUCCAGAAACAUUGCCAGUGAUUAUAAAUACAAGGAAGCUUAUGAGAAGUCAGAGGGAAAGCAUGUGGGUUUUAGAAGCCUUCAGGAUGAUCCCACGCUGGUCCAUUACAUGAAUGUGGCAAAACUGUAGUCGGAUCAUGAACACAAGAGGAACUAUGAGAACGUCAAAAUGAGCUACCAUACCCCUGGGGACAUGCUUAGCAUUACAGCUGCGAAGUUGUCCCGGGA